UGAGAUCCGCCGUUCUCUGACUUGAGAAGCUUCAGUCGUCUUCUUCAGCAAACUAACCUAGAAAAGCCUCGACCACCCUAACGCAGUAGACCUUCACCCAAAUGAACACCAAAAACUUAACUCUAUGACCCUACCAAGAUCAGAAGACAGUCGUUCCUGCUGCUUCAUCUUCAACACUCAGCACUGUUGGUUUCUUAGAAGAAAACUCUGCAGAAACCUAGCGAGAAAACCAGCCCAGUCGUGACCCUUCUCUUUCAGCUCGACCAAACGUUGUUGCUCCUCCACCUCAACCAAACCAACAGUCUAAACCUACACAAAAUCCGGCAAACCAGUGUUUUUACAGUGAGCGUUUGAAUCAGUCGAGGAUGGUUCCGGUUCGAGUUCUUAUUUUCGAUUGAAGUUUCCAGUUCUAAGUAUUUUCAGAUUCCAGAGCUGUUGCUCUCAAAGAUUUGGAGCAUUCGGAGGCCGAUUCGAGCGGCAAAGGCAUCGCGGGCUAGAGUUCGGACUGGAUAGAGAUCCAGGUGCCCAGAGGCCGAGUGGGAGCUUUUCAGUCAUUCAGCAAUUGCCAAGGAUUUCGAGGUAGCUGCAUGGCGUCCGCAGCUCUGAUUUCUCCCUUCUAUCUUAUUACUUUUCCGAAUUCCUAGACUAUCUAUGUAGUAGGUUGUCCAGACUUGUAUUAGAGGCUCUAGACUUGUGACACCAGAUCAGUUUGGGCUAUGUAGUUUCUAGGUAUUGUUGACUUCCGCAUGUCUAUCUCGCUGUGUUAAACACUUAUUAUGAUAAUUGGUAAUUAAACCAUGUUAGCAAAUAAUUUAUUUAAAAUGAAAAUGAGUUGUGGUUUAUAAUUGGUCCGACUUGCCUAAUAAUGUGAUAGGCGCCAUCACAACCGGUAUUUGGGGUCGUGACAGUUCUAGAGCUCCAAACUGGAAAUGGAAUUGGAAAGCAGCCGAUCCUAAGACAUAUAUGUAUAAUGUACUCAUCCUUUACCUUUGUAAGAAAUUACUU